AUACGGAGGGUGCAAGCGUUAAUCGGAAUUACUGGGCGUAAAGCGUACGUAGGCGGUUCGUUAAGUUAGAUGUGAAAGCCCCGGGCUUAACCUGGGAACUGCAUUUAAAACUGGCGAACUAGAGUUGAGUAGAGGGGAGUGGAAUUUCAGGUGUAGCGGUGAAAUGCGUAGAGAUCUGAAGGAACACCAGUGGCGAAGGCGGCUCCCUGGACUCAAACUGACGCUGAGGUACGAAAGCGUGGGUAGCAAACGGGAUUAGAAACCCCAGUAGUCC
rnacentral:rRNA from 1 species